rnacentral:rRNA from 1 species
CCUACGGGAGGCAGCAGUGAGGAAUAUUGGUCAAUGGACGAGAGUCUGAACCAGCCAAGUAGCGUGAAGGAUGACUGCCCUAUGGGUUGUAAACUUCUUUUAUAUGGGAAUAAAAUGUUCCACGUGUGGGAUUUUGUAUGUACAAUAUGAAUAAGGAUCGGCUAACUCUGUGCAAGCAGCCGCGGUAAUACGGAGGCUCCGAGCGUUAUCCGGCGUUAGUGGGUUUAAAGGGGGGGCAGGUGGAUUGGUAAGUCAGUUGUGAAAGUUGGCGGCUCAACCGUAGAAGUGCAGUUGAAACUGGCAGUCUUGAGUACAGUAGAGGUGGGCGGAAUUCGUGGUGUAGCGGUGAAAUGCGUAGAUAUCACGAAGAACUCCGAUUGCGAAGGCAGUUCACUGGACUGCAACUGACACUGAGGCUCGAAAGUGUGGGUAGCAAACAGGAUUAGAUACCCGGGUAGUC